rnacentral:rRNA from 1 species
CGUAGGAAUCUACCUUAAUUAUAAUAGUUAGUGGGGGAUAACCCGGGGAAACUCGGGCUAAUACCGCAUAAUCUCUUCAAAGCAAAGCGGGGGAUCUUCGGACCUCGUGCUAUGAGAUGAGCCUGCGUCGGAUUAGCUAGUUGGUAGGGUAAUGGCCUACCAAGGCGACGAUCCGUAGCUGGUCUGAGAGGACGAUCAGCCACACUGGGACUGAGACACGGCCCAGACUCCUACGGGAGGCAGCAGUGGGGAAUAUUGGACAAUGGGGGAAACCCUGAUCCAGCAAUGCCGCGUGUGUGAAGAAGGCCUUCGGGUUGUAAAGCACUUUCAGUGGGGAAGAAAUUCUCAAGGCUAAUACCCUUGAGCGUUGAC